UUCUGACCUCAAAUCAU
rnacentral:rRNA from 1 species